GCGAGCGUAGUUCAAUGGUAAAACAUCUCCUUGCCAAGGAGAAGAUACGGGUUCGAUU
rnacentral:tRNA from 1 species